GUUGGUAUCAAAGCAAAAAUAGAUCGAGAAUAAGAGAGGUAUAGAUAGAACAGAGGUUUCGUGAUCGUAAUUGAAGAGGUUCGUAGGCGUGCCGCACGCCACGGCAGCGCACUCAACCAGGAGACAUCUUGAUCUACCCAGCUCUUCACUUCUUAAGCCCCAAUAGAAAUUUGCCGUACUGCUGAUAGGCAUUUUGAAAGCCUUUACGGUUUCAGCAAAACAGGACGAGCAUGGGCUUAGCCCGGAGGGAUGGAAUUUGCGAACAGCUACCUGAGCGUCUAUAAAGGAGACCUAACAACUCGAGAGCAGCUGCUUCACGAGUGAAUCUACUGCCGAAUCGGAAUCGCGACCCGCUGAGAAGAUCCGGCGAGAAACUCAAUAGGCUGAUGU